GACGAACGCUGGCGGCGUGCUUAACACAUGCAAGUCGAGCAGUAAGGCUCCUUCGGGAGUACACGAGCGGCGAACGGGUGAGUAACACGUGAGUAACCUGCCCCAAUCAUCGGGAUAACCAUUGGAAACGAUGGCUAAUACCGAAUACGACCACCGAAGGCAAUCUUCUGGUGGUGGAAAGCUCCGGCGGAUUGGGAUGGACUCGCGGCCUAUCAGCUUGUUGGUGAGGUAAUGGCUCACCAAGGCAACGACGGGUAGCCGGCCUGAGAGGGUGACCGGCCACACUGGGACUGAGACACGGCCCAGACUCCUACGGGAGGCAGCAGUGGGGAAUAUUGGACAAUGGGCGCAAGCCUGAUCCAGCAACGCCGCGUGAGGGAUGACGGCCUUCGGGUUGUAAACCUCUUUCAGUAGGGACGAAGCGAAAGUGACGGUACCUACAGAAGAAGGACCGGACCAACUAACGUG
rnacentral:rRNA from 1 species